GAAUCCAAGUGUUUUUUUUUUUCUACUUGUUAAGUGGUUAAAAAAAACAAACAAACAAAACAAACAACAACCAAAACCAAAACCAAAAACCCAAGCAUCCUUAAGUGAUGAUAGGAUACAAACCAACCAUUUUAAACAGCACAGAGAACUAAUGAGAGGCCAAGACACCUUCCUCAGAGACUGUUGGAACAGAAUAUGCCACCAGACUCUACCAUGUUCCACAACUCUACGUGACCCACUGCUCCAGAGACAUUAGUCUGUCCUUCUGGGUGUGUUUCAGAAAGAAAGAAUUUGGCUAUCCCAGCCCAAGCAAAGGUACUGAUCACCCAGGAUACAGGCAUGGUCCCUCAGGGAACUGGAGAAGUCAUACAAGCCAGAGUCUAGGAAAAUGGUCCUCAGGAAAUCUGUGAACAGAGGCAGCCAAAGAAUUUGGUGGUUCCAAGGCUGGACAGCAAAUAGAAGGGAGUGAGCUGGGCAGGCAGAAGUUUGGAGAUGGGAUAAUCAGGCAGGGCUUCUCAACAUGUGUUUUGUUUGUUUGUUUGUUUGUUUGUUUGUUUUUUUUUUUUUUUUUGUCUAAGGACAUCCUUGCACUCUUUUUAUUUUCUAAUGCUCUGUAUGUGUUUGCAUGUGUGUUGUUCUGGUGCACACAUGCCACAGUUCACAGAUGGAAGUCAGAGGACACGGUUGAGAGCCAGUCUUUGCUUUCUACCGUCUUUGAGACCACCUGAUGUUCAGUGCCACAUAUACCAGGCUAUCUGGUCCAUGUAAGUUCCCAGGGAUUCUUCUAUCGCCACCUCCCAUCUCACCAUAGACACUCUGAGAUUAUAGAUGUGUGCCUAAACAUCUGACUUUAUGUGGGUUCUUGGGAUUUGAACUCUGGUCCCCAUGAUUGCAUGGGAAGCCCUUUACUCACUAAGCCGUCUUCCCAGCCCUAUGUCUUCCUUAUACUCUUAAAAGUUAUCUAGACCCCUGGAGAGGUGAGCUGAAUCUUCCAAUAUCAACCUUGUUAGAAAUUAAUCAGAUGUGUUCUAUACAGGAGCCUGCAUCCCACUGUCAGAAUAGUAAAAUUCCUUGUCUUCUCUAGAAAAUAGCUUUUCUGACUCUUGAUAGAGGAAAGAGACUAAGGUUAUCUCCCCAACAUUAGGAGUGAUUUUGGUCUUGGAGGCCCAUAGGACAGAUUUAGUCAGGAGUCCCAGACACACUAGGGACCUGCUGCCACAGUCACGUAGAGCUCCUAGGGCAUUAGCUCCCAGAGUCCGAAACUGGGCUCCACACUGGGGGAUGCUGCAGGUGUCUUAGCAACUCCAUAUCUUUCCUGAAGUGCUGUCCAAAGGAUUAGAGACAAGUCAGGCAAGAGCUCUUUAAACCACACCCAGAGUCUCUUAGAGAAUCUGGUUCCAUCAGAACUCCAGCUCAGGGGCUGGUGAGAUGGCUCAGUGGGUAAGAGCACCUGACUGCACUUCCGAAGGUCCAGAGUUCAAAUCCCAGCAACCACAUGGUGGCUCACAACCAUCCGUAACUGACUCCCUCUUCUGGAGGGUCUGAAGACAGCUACAGUGUAUUUACAUAAAAUAAUAAAUAAAUC
rnacentral:lncRNA from 1 species